rnacentral:rRNA from 1 species
AACGGCGAACGGGUGAGUAACACGUAGGUGAUCUGCCCAUCAGACGGGGACAACGAUUGGAAACGAUCGCUAAUACCGGAUAGGACGAAAGUUUAAAGGUGCUUCUGGCACCGCUGAUGGAUGAGCCUGCGGCGCAUUAGCUAGUUGGUAGGGUAAAGGCCUACCAAGGCGACGAUGCGUAGCCGACCUGAGAGGGUGAACGGCCACACUGGGACUGAGACGCGGCCCAGACUCCUACGGGAGGCAGCAGUAGGGAAUCUUCGGCAAUGGGCGAAAGCCUGACCGAGCAACGCCGCGUGAAUGAUGAAGGCCUUCGGGUUGUAAAAUUCUGUUAUAAGGGAAGAACGACUUUAGUAGGAAAUGGCUAGAGUGUGACGGUACCUUAUGAGAAAGCCACGGCUAACUACGUGCCAGCAGCCGCGGUAAUACGUAGGUGGCGAGCGUUAUCCGGAAUUAUUGGGCGUAAAGAGCGCGCAGGUGGUUGAUUAAGUCUGAUGUGAAAGCCCACGGCUUAACCGUGGAGGGUCAUUGGAAACUGGUCGACUUGAGUGCAGAAGAGGGAAGUGGAAUUCCAUGUGUAGCGGUGAAAUGCGUAGAGAUAUGGAGGAACACCAGUGGCGAAGGCGGCUUCCUGGUCUGUAACUGACACUGAGGCGCGAAAGCGUGGGGAGCAAACAGGAUUAGAUACCCUGGUAGUCCACGCCGUAAACGAUGAGUGCUAAGUGU